GAUGAACGCUGGCGGCGUGCCUAAUACAUGCAAGUCGAGCGAACAGACGAGGAGCUUGCUCCUUUGACGUUAGCGGCGGACGGGUGAGUAACACGUAGGUAACCUACCUAUAAGACUGGGAUAACUUCGGGAAACCGGAGCUAAUACCGGAUAAUAUUUCGAACCGCAUGGUUCGAUAGUGAAAGAUGGCUUUGCUAUCACUUAUAGAUGGACCUGCGCCGUAUUAGCUAGUUGGUAAGGUAACGGCUUACCAAGGCAACGAUACGUAGCCGACCUGAGAGGGGGAACGGCCAACAUGGAAAUGAGACACGGUCCCAACUCCCAAGGGGGGGAGGAGGAGGGAAUUUUCCCGAAUGGGGGGAAACCUGAAGGGGGAACGCCGCGGGGGGGAUGAAGGGGUUCGGGUCGUAAAACCCUUUUUUUUGGGAAAAAAAAAAGGGUAAGUAACUUUGCACGUUUUGAAGGGACCUAAACAGAAAACCACCGCUAAAUACGGG
rnacentral:rRNA from 1 species